GUCCCCAUCGUCUAGGUCGGCCUAGGACACCAGGUUUUCAUCCUGGUAACAGGGGUUCAAAUCCCCUUGGGGACGCCA
rnacentral:tRNA from 1 species